UUGAGUGAGCCAUCCAUAUGCAUCAAAGAUCAACAGUCAGAAAGUGUCUGAUUUAUAAUUGACCUGCUUGUUGUACAAGAAUGAAGAUAGACUUACACUGCCACAUCCUGCCCAAGGAAUGGCCCAAUCUGAAACAGAGAUAUGGAUAUGAAGGUUGGGUCCAACUUCACCAUCACUCUGAGGGUGAAGCAAAAAUGAUGAAAGAUGGCAACAUAUUCAGAGUGGUACAAAAAAACUGCUGGGAUCCACAAGUACGGAUUCAAGAAAUGGAUCAAUCGGGU